rnacentral:rRNA from 1 species
UACGUAGGGUGCGGGCGUUAAUCGGAAUUACUGGGCGUAAAGCGUGCGCAGGCGGUUCGUUGUGUCUGUGGUGAAAGCCCCGGGCUUAACCUGGGAAUGGCCAUGGAAACUGGCGAGCUGGAGUGUGGCAGAGGGGGGUGGAAUUCCGCGUGUAGCAGUGAAAUGCGUAGAGAUGCGGAGGAACACCGAUGGCGAAGGCAGCCCCCUGGGUUGACACUGACGCUCAGGCACGAAAGCGUGGGGAGCGAACAGG